AGACGAACCAUGCGAACGUUAUUCGGAAUGACUGGGCUUAAAGUGUGCGUAGGCGGUCUCGAAAGUUGGGUGUGAAAUCCCCCGGCUCAACCGGGGAAUUGCGCCCAAAACUGCGGGACUCGAGGGAGAUAGAGGUGGGCGGAACUUCGGGUGGAGCGGUGAAAUGCGUUGAUAUCCGAAGGAACACCAGAGGCGAAAGCGGCCCACUGGAUCUUUUCUGACGCUGAGGCACGAAAGCUAGGGGAGCGAACGGGAUUAGAUACCCCGGUAGUCCUAGCCGUAAACGAUGAGCACUGGAUUGGAGGGUCUCCCAUAGCCUUCCGGUCGUAGCGAAAGUGUUAAGUGCUCCGCCUGGGGAUUAUGGUCGCAAGGCUGAA
rnacentral:rRNA from 1 species